rnacentral:lncRNA from 1 species
UAUAAUUUUGCGCUCUCAUACAAAGAUUUAAUGAUCACUACGGGCAAUAUAUUGUCUUCAUUUCAUUAAUAUUUAUGGUAUCUGGGGGGGUCUUUCAUGCAUUUUUACCUCAUGGGGGCAAUCCAUUUUAGAACAAUUUAACACCAGAGUGCUGUUCACUGCCCCUGCCAUCUCUCCUAAUACUUCAACAUGGAAACCUUUCCAUUUUGGCAAAGUGACAUGCUGAAGUGCUCAGACUAUCACUGCCCUUCCAUUGAGAGACAUUUAGAAAAGUUAAGCAAUAAUGGUACCCAGAAUGCACCUUUUAGUGGAUAAAUUCAAAAGAUUGUGUGGUCUGCUGCCAACAAGAUGGCUAAUAAUGUGUCUGACUUUGCUACACAUAUAUCCUAACUUAGUCAGAUAAAAAAAAAAAUGAACACUCUGGUACCCAAUUGGAUUCUUAAGUAUGUAUGUGUUAACCAUCUUAGUUGAGUGUUACAUGUGUAUGACACCUUCGUGUAGCAUCCCCCACAAAGGAUUUUUGCAAUUGGCCUCGUGUUGGAAAACUUUUUCACCUGAUGUCACCUAUGUUCUACUACCCAUCAAUAUGGGACGAAUAGGAAUGUUUUGAAUAGGCAGCUCAUAGCCCCGUGCGUUUUUUGUUUUUACAUCUACAAAUGUCAUCUGGUGAAAUACAUGUGGAUGUCAUGCUAGUUAAUACUUGGACUUGAAUAAACCUGUGUUACUAUCACCAUAGUUGAUUCUUUAUCCAAAAAGGUGAGGGAACUCUGUCCAUACAGCCUAAUUUAUAUUCUGCCUUAAUUUGCAAUUGAAGAUCUGAUGUGUUAAGAUAUUCUAGGCGUGUCAAUUUGUAAAGAGCUUUGGGCUCCUUUUCAGUGGUCCCUAUGAGCAUCAGGUUCUAUCUAGGUCAGUAUUUGUCCCGCAGAUAUUCAAACGUGGUCAAUUUUUAGGAGAGCUCAUUGCAGUUUGAUAUGUAAACAUUCAUGUUGCGCUAUUAGGCUAUUUCUCAGAGUAAUUCCUCUAUAAGGAAGACUGUUCAGUUUUUUAUUUUUAAUAUGCAUCCACAUUUUUUGUUAACCACAACAUAAACUAUUAGCGUUGUGUAUUCUUGAUGACCAGAGUUGUCAAGCUAUUGGUUUAGAAACAUCCUUGUGUCUUCAAUCAUCUUGUUUUUGUGGCCCACCAAAUAAUGCCAUCUGUCAUUUUAGGAAGUUCAGUCAUCCAUUUGAAAAAGGGGAUUACACUUUUAUCAUGUAUAUUUUCAGACUUUUAUUUGCACUACUUAUGACUGAUCUAGGCUUUUAUGUAUGACAUUGUCUAUAAAGAAUAUACUAAACUUUAGAAUUUGCUCCCGAACUUCAGGAUCACAGUUUGACAAAACUAUGUCAAUCAUGACAGCCCUGACCUAUCAAUGGACCUGAACAGGUUGAUCACCGUUGCUGUAAAGGCCAUAAUAUAUUUUUCUCAGAACAAAACAUGGGGAGUUAAUAUAAUAUAAUAAAUAGCUGUAAACAGAAAAAUAAGACAAAUGCUAAAAGUGAAGCAAGCACCAUAGAAACCAGUUGGAAUUGUCCUGUUUAUUGGUCAUUGCUUUCAUUGGUGAUUACUUCACUUUUACAGCUCUCAACAUUUGUUUUUAAAAAUACUCUCCCCUUAUAGUUUCUUAUCCAGCAGACAGAAAACUGGUGCAAGUCAAAUAUAAGCGGUUUGCAGAGAAUAUAAAUAGUGAGAAUAAUUAGUCUAAUUGUGCCCCUACCUUUUUGAAUUUGUUUAAGUGUUACCUUUUUCAGUCAACACAAAUUACCUCAGUUUGAUGUUGGUGUUAAAACUUGAAUGGCUAUUACCGACUCCAUGUUCUGGGGAGGUUAGAGUCAAGCAGGCCAGUUUGCAUUAUUAUAUUGUUUGUAUUUAGUGAUGUGCACUAUUUUUGUUUGCUUUUCUUGCAUAUUUUUCGUGUGCCUUCAUAAAAUGUAGCAUAGUCUGGUUUAUGGGGGUGGGAGGUCCUAUGGAAUAGGAGUGUUGUAUUUGUUUCAAUGGUGUAGAUAGGUCUGCCAUUUAUCCAUUCUCCUCCAUAGGCAAAGUAUUAUUUGUCUUCAGUGAGACACAUAAGCAUAUGUCAUCUCUGGACCAGUGGCCUUUGUCAGAUUAAUUGGCUGUAUGUUUAAGAGCCAAGCUGGUUAGGUAACAGAACUUCUUAGGAGGACACUCAUUUAUCCCAUCCCUCUGGUAAAUCAUAGUUUGAUUUACAUAUUCUCCAUCUUUGGAUUGCGUGUCUCUCUUGUAGAAGUGGUGUCAUUGUUUUUGCUAUUGAUUUUGCACAGGAUUUAGGGAAAUGAGAUUCAUGGUAUUUUAAAAUGUUAUGUGGCCUCUCAUCCCUGUCAUGUAACCUCAGAUACUGCCUUCAAGGCAUCUGCCAGUUGCUCUUUUCACAUCCAUUUUGAGAGGAUCCUUCGUGCCACUGUUGCUUUGGAAUAUAAUUCCAUUAAGGUUCCUCUUCCACUGUAUUACACACCUGAUGUGGAUGUGUGUGUUUAUUCUUUGCACAGAUGUGUUUUUAUUUGCAAUUUACAAACCCCCCUGUCUCCCCCCAUAUUCCCUUUCCAAGACAAUCAAAGUUCUGUAAAAAGGGCUUUUUUAUCAGACUUUCUUCUCUGUCCUGACUUUACACUUUUCUCAUGUUUUUUCACUGGUGGGGGUAUGUUGCAGCAGUCCUCUCCCUCUCUAUCUCUAGAAGAUGCAGCUUUGCCUAGUCUUGUUCUCCUUUAACAAUAAUAUGUGCAUUGGCAGCACAGCUUGACAAUUCUAAGUAAUAAUUUGUGAGUGUUUAUUUUUUUCGGGGUGCUGGGCAUGGGAUUAGCAAAGGUAGACACGUUAUUUUGCUGUCAAAUGUCUGGUUCCCUGAGUGCAUUGUUUACAGGGCUGUCCCGAAACUUCCAUUCCGAUUUCCUUCUUCCCACCCUACCUCCAGGCUGUGUGCCAUUUUCCAUGGGAAUGGUAACUGAGUUUGUAUUUUCUUUUAAACAUUUGGGGGUUUUAUUUUCCCCCACAACAAGUUUUAUGCCAAAGUACCCCUACUUUGUUUCAUCCAAUAGUUUUUUUUGUUUGUGUUUUUUUUUUUUUUUUUUUUUUAAACUCCCAACCCACCACAGCUUGUUCAUAGUGAAAUGGAUGCUCUUAACAUCCACAACAGGCCCUUACUUGGGGUACCCCUUUUGGGCCACUCUCAUAAAAUGGAAGUUUCUUUCAGCUCCUAAUGCAAAGCACCUGCUUCAUUAAUAAGCACUUUUUCAUAACUCUCGCUGCUGCUGGUGCCUGCAGAGCAUUGCUUUUGCAAUGCUGUCUUGAUCCAUGCAACAGUUAAGGGUUAAGGUAUAUAAGGGUUCGAUUUCCCUCGAUGACAUCCGGCAAAACAAUGGAGUGAAUGAAGGAGCAUUGUUGAUUUGAUCCUCCACUGUUGUGCUCUUCCCUCUUAGAGGUGAAAUGGUGAAAGCAAGCAUUUGUUUGAACACAAAUGUGAAGGGACAUUAAAAAGAGAAAAAAAGGAGAGAAAAAAAAACAGCACAAAUGCAUUUCACACAGGUUUACUUGCACUGCCACUGUAUAAAAGAAGGAGCUAUGUCCAUGUGGAUAGCUAACGUGAGCCAUAUUGCUGAAUGUAUCCUCUGACACCAUAUAAGAACAUAUUAAAUUAAAUUUAAAUAUGGUUGCCACUUCUUGUUUACACGAUUGGUUGCCAUUUAAUUGAAACUUCCAAAGCCAGCUAGCCGUUCAGAUUCAUUGCUUUGGAUCUUAUUAGAACCCGAAGAUGGAAUGGUCACUGUUUAUUUGUAGGGGAAACAAAAACUGACAAUUUAUCUGCUUUCAUAUGUCACACAACACUAUUUCAAAUGUUCUGCUAUGUAGAGGACAAGAGAUUGUGGUUUCAAAAAAAAUUAUAAAUUAUAUGUGUGUAUAUGUUACACCUUAAUUGUAACAUAGAUAUAGCUCUAUCUAAACAGAUUAAUCAAAUUAUUCUUUUCUUAGAGGCCAGCAAAUCAUGUAGGCCCCCGAGUGCUAUUGAUAUACUUUUGUUAUCCUUCGGGGCAAAAGACACAGCAGGAGGAUGUAUGUGUGGUUUUAUUAAUGUUUGGGAUGUGGAGUACUCUAUAAAUACUUUGCAACAGAACUAAACUGGACCAAAGCUUAAAUUAUUUAACUACAUAAAUUCAAAUUGGUAUUAACAUUUCGGUUAUUUUUUUUUUUUUUGAGACUUGCCCACAUACAUUGAAAACAUUGUUAGCAGUAUAGUUACUUGAAUGGCCUGGUGAAUAUAGCAGUUAAAUAAGCCUACUUCUGACACUAGAAACAUUAAAUUGAAGCAUUAGUAGCCUCAAAAGAAUUGAUGAAUUGGUGGGGUUUAUCUCUCAAUGUUUAUAGCAAUAGUUAUAGGUGGGUUUUUGCAAAAGUGGUAUACAAAUAUCAACCAAGUGUAAACUGUGAAACAAGCAAAACAUGAAAUUUAAACUAGGACAGUUCAAAGUGGUAUACAAAUAUCAUCAAAGUGCACCUGCUAUACACACACACACUAUAUGGAUUGAAGUAUUGGGACACAAUUAUUGAAUUUAAGCAUUUCAUUUGGACCCAUUGCCACCGGUAUAUAAAAUCAAGCACCUAGCCAUGCAGUCUGCAUUUGUGAAAGAAAAGUCAUUCUGAACAGCUCAGUGAAUUCAGGUGUGGUACUGUGAUAGAAUAAGCCAGUUUGCAAAAUUUAAUUCCUGCUAGAUAUUCCAUGGUCCACUGUAAGUGGUAUUGUUGGAAAGUGUUGAACAUUUGCUGCUGUUCCUAAACGCUUCCAGAGUGGAAGACCAUGCAAAGUCAGUGAGGCACAUGGUGCGUAAUAGUUACCAACGCCCUGAUUCCAUAGCUAAAUAAUUCCAAACUACCUCUUGCUUUAAUAUCCGCACAAAGACUGUGCAGCGGAAGCUUCAUGGAAUGGGUUUUCAUGGCCAAGCAGCUGUAUGCAAGCCUCACAACACCAAGUACAAGGCCAAGCAUCUGAUCGAGCAGUGUAAAGCACACUGCCACUGUACUCUUGAGCAGUGGAAACGUGGUUCUGUGGAGUUAAGAAUCACUCUUCUGUCUGGUAGUCUGAUGUAAAGGUCUGGAUUUGGUGGAUGCCAGGACAUUGUUACCUGCCUGACUGCAUUGUGCCAACUGUAUAGUUUGGAGGUGGGGGAAAAUGUAUGAGGCUGUUUUUCAAGGGUUGGGCUAGGUCCCUUCCAGUGAAGAAAAAUCUUAAUGCUUCAGCAUACCAAGACAUUUUGGACAAUACCAACUUUGGGGAAGGCCCUUUUCUAUUCCAGUGUGACUGUGCCCCCAGUGCACAAAACAAGGUCCAUAUAGACAUGGUUGGAGGAGUUUGGUGUGGAAGAACUUGGCUGACCCUCACAGAGCUCUGACUUAAAUACUUUUGAACACCUUUGGGAUGAACUGGAACGGAGAGGUCGAGCCAGGCCUGCUCGUCUGCCUGACCUCAAAUGCUCUACUGGAAGAAUGGUCAAAAAAAAUCCCUCAAACACUUGUGGAAAUCCUUCACGGAAAAGUGGAAGCUGUUAUAACUGCAGGGGGCGGGAGGACCAACUAUCUAUUAAGGUCUAUGUAUUGAGAAUUUGAGGUCAUAAAAGUCACUGUUGGUGUAAUGGUCAGGUGUCCCAAAACUUUUGUCCAUAUAGUGUGUGUAUGUAUACACAUCUACAUACACGCUACGCUUUAUUAACCUGUACUACUGGUUAAAUAAAAAUCUAGUUCCCAGAACAUUAAUGCUUUUUCAAAUGUAUGUUUAGUGUGAAAUGGUAAGUGAUGUAGUAUGUUUAUGAUUUUGUAGCCCUCCUGCCUUAAACGUUUAGCAGGUCAAGCUGUACCUUUUUUUUUAAAUAUUCAUUUUUAAUCAUGUGUGCCUGCAUAGUGCUACCUAAGUGGAGACAGGUGAAGGGAACUCAACUUAACCUGAAGUUCGCUUACUCGGGACCACCAUCUUUAUAGUUUUGAGACGUUUGGAAUCUUUUUCUAUUGGACAUCACAAGUGCAAAAAAAGCAAUGUUUCAUAAGCAGAAGCUCAUAUUAAAUUACCUGCUGUGUAUAUACAUUUUUAAAACAAGCAUACCCUUAGUCUUGUGCAAAUUUUGACAUUACAAGCCUAGUCCUAUCCUAUAUAGCCAGCCCUAGGGUAUUCAUUUUCACAUUUCUAUAAUACCCAACUAAAAUAAUUAUGACAAUUCUGCAGUAUAUGUAUACAUUUUUAAAAUCAUAUGCAUCUAUGGCUUCACAGCAAAUUGGCAUGCUGUGUGAAACAUUUUUCACUUGGUUUAUAUUUGAGUGGUUCGUCUUGUUCUAGAAGAGGAUGCCCAAUAAAAGACUGUAUAAAUCAAGUGUGUUUGCAGGGAAAGCUUCAUAUUGCCAGAUGUAUGCUAUAACACUUUGAACACUAAAUUGUGAUGUUUGGAGAACAGACUUGUAAAAUUUAGCUUGAAUUGUAAUCUCAAUUUCAGCAUACAAGGACAUCCCCUCCCCCACCUCUCAAAAAAUGGUCUCAUGUCCUCAGAGUAUUGUUUAGACCCCUUUGUGAUGAUGCAAAGUGGGCAUUGCCCAAUGCCCCUCCAGGAAGGAAUUAUGCAGUUAUGUAUCUGCAGAAAAACCAAAGCAAAACACUGAGCUGUUCUAUAUUAAAUGAAUGUGACCCAUUUAUGAAAAUUGCUUAUGUAAAAUAAAAAAAAUGCUGCUGGAGAUUUGGGUAACUAAUUUUUCUUUUAGAACAGUACAGCCCCCCAAAAAUCUCUAUUGUGUUCUUCCCUAUAAAUGGUGUGUUUGGCAAGUGCCAAUUUACAACCCCUUAGAUAAUUUUGAAAAAAGGAAAUUAAAAUCAAAAUGCCUCAAAGUGUUGCUCUCAUGCUACAGCGGGUGGAAGCACAAAAUUAUACUGAUGUUUGCUUUCCUUUCUUGAAUAAACAGUUCUACAGAUUCUUCAUCCAGCAGUUCUAGGGAAAAGAAUAUAAAGAGCACUUGCUCUUCACUUAUCUCCAGCAGUGAGGGGUUUUAUCUCUCAUCACUACCUCCACUCCCUUCCUGACUGCCACUUUGUUAUUUUUGCACAUAUUUCUCUGUUGGCAAGUACAGAGUUUUGGACUUGUCAAGCCUGGCAAUAAAAUAACACUGCAUUUCAAUCAUGUAAGCUUUUGUUUUGGGUCUCUUGUCUCUUACAAUGGAGGGUUACCUGAUGGAGCCCAGUUCUGAGCGUUUGAUCCAGCCUUUCUUACAAUGUGUCUUUCAUUACCCUGUCUGUAAAUGCUGCACUCCUCAUAAGAGUUGUGAACCAACCUUUAAAUCCUGUAAAGGGAAGGAUCUUAAAGUAACAGACCUCAUUCUCACCUGUUGAGGAAAUGCCAAACGAAUUGUACUAUCCACAUAAAAGAUAAUUUAUUUUUUCUUGGCAUUAUUUGAGUAAACCUGGCAGGUGAUUAACAUGCACAACAUUGUAAACAUAAAAUGGAGUUUAGUGCUUCCAACCCCUUUUGUAGUGUCACUAGUGGCUGUGUACUCUUGGCUCCCCCUUCCUUCACCUGUUGCUGUUUAGAUGCUUUUAUGACUUCUUAUAGCUUUGUUAGUCUAGUAGAAAUGGUACUUCAAUGUCUGCUGUGUGGUUUGUGCACCUGCUUUUUCUCCUUUGCCUCUUCCAAUACGCAAGGAAAUAAAGCCUUAUUUAUAACCAUUCUACUUCAGCUGUUGAUAGUGAACCAGUGUUUAUAAAGGAGUAUAUAUGGGGCAUUUAUGUAUUUCUGUAAUGCUGCUUUUAUGGUCAUAGCCAAUAUUUGUAUGUUAUCAAAAACAAAAACCCUGACACCUAAUCAAGAAAUAUAAUUUGGAGCAGUGGUUCUAAAAUCAAAUACCUGGCCAAGUUAAUGUGUUCAGUAGAAAACAAUUGUGCACUCCUUAAAUCUCUGCUCAGUGAUUGUAUUGCAAGUUUCUACUUUUCGAGGGUUUAUUUAUUUAGUCCAAUUUCCCUUAGUUGUGUCUUAAUUUUAAUUGAAUAUAUUUGCUUUUUAAUUAUUUUUUUUUCUUUGUUUUGUAAACAUUUACUUAAUUCUAGCCCUGUAAUGUUUAAACCCAGACACCUGAAUUGUGCCAUAUAACAACUCAGGGAUAUUUCAUGGCAGAUCGUAUAAGUUGCAGAGUCCUAAAAAAGAUUUUCUAAUUAGAUACGUGAUAAUUUAAAAGUUUACCCGAUUGUAAAGUAAGAGCAGUUUUCCUAAUGGGGAAAAAUAACCAUGAAAUGAAAGGGCUUUGGUUGUAUCAAUUUAGUUUUCAUUCUGGCCAACCUCUUUUAAUUAAUUUUUUUUUUUUUUUUUAAUAAACUACUAUAGGAAUAGUUGUACACAGCCCUCCUCUUAAAAGGGGUAACUUUUCUCUUAUCCAUUAAUAAAUUUUAUAGGUAAUGUCUAAAAAUGUAAACCUAUUCAAAUAUACUCUUGUAUGAAAUUUCUGCAAAAUUAUAUCCUUGGCAUCUUCUGUGAUGAGCACUCAUCAACCAUCUUCUCAAGACACACCUAACAGUCCAGGGUUUAAGGAUUACCUGGAUUUCUGUGGUGGUUAGAAAAAAAACCUUAGACACACCCGGGUAAUCCUUAAAUCCCUGGACUGUUGCGUAUGCCUUGAAGAGCGCUUCUUAAACAGCCAAUCAUGUCCACUUAUCUAUAGUACUGCUGCUCAUAACCUUUUAAGCCAUGUUUAUUGGGUAGGCACAAGAAGGGCUCUCUGACUUAGUUCAUUUGGGAUUUCUACUAUAGAAAGGCAAGACAAAAUAUAACUCCAAGAAGCUGGAGUUAUGACCUCAUGUACAGCUGUAUUAUUGAAGCAAAAAAGAGAAACCCUGCGGUGUAUAAAGGAAGCAAGCAGAAGAGCUUUUAAAAAAAAAAAUAAAAAAAAAAAUUGGGGUUUUUUAAGCUAUAUAUGCUCCAAGACCGCAGUUUAUCAUAUUGCCCUUGCAGCAUGCAGGUCAUAAAAAGACAGUAAAAGUAUUUCACCAUCUGUUUCAGAAUAACAAAAGCAAUAGAUUGCAAAACGUAAUGCAGGUUCCUGUUACAUUUAAUGUCUGUCUGCCAUAUACUGUUAAAACCUCACCUGCCUCCAAGGUACGUGGCCCAAUAUAAACUGCUUUGCAUUUUAACCUGGCAAUAGCAUGGUACCAUUUAUAAUGUAUUAUUCAUAGACAGUUUGGUACUUCUAUAGAAAACGCCUGCUCUACUACUUAAUCCUCUAAAUUGUCCCCCACCCAUCAUACACGCAGCAAUUAAAUGUAGUAUCUGAAAUAAGAGAACUUGAAACCAAUUCAUAGGGAAGAGAAAUGGGCAGCUACAGGUUAUAUAACGCGUAAGUGUAAACUCCUUAGGUUUUUUUUUUUUUUGGUCAGUUGGUUAUAGGGGAGGGGAAGCACCAGUUAAUUGCUUAAACACUGUUUUAAAGUCGGAUAAAUGGGCAUUUAAAUAAAUAUUCACUUGAGUUACGCACGCAUAGUAGCCUCAUCCAAGGGGUCAAUUGUGUAGGAACACAUUGGAUAAUGCCAUUUCUUUACACAACAUCUAGACCUCUUGACCCUUUACAUUUGUAUGUCCGUGAAAGUUGUCAUGCUAUUAGUGGUUGUGAACAUGAACAGUGCCGGUGUUGGUGUUCUCAGUUUGUAAGUAAGGGGAGUGCAGUUUUCCAAGAUAAGUCAUAUUUCACUUUUAUGGCAGAACAAAAAACUGCUGCUGAAUACAGCAAUUGUUAAAGCUUUGUUUUUAUGUUCUUGGUCUUGCAAAUAGGAGUCAAAUUAGUGAGAUGUUGCCCAAUUUCCUUAACCUGUAGAAUCUCCGCAAUGUUUAGCCUUUAAUUGCAUGUCUAGCUCUAUCCUCCCAGCUUACACCGGUUAACAUACUGUGAAACUGCUUCUCUGUUCUUUGGAAGAUUUUAAUCCUAAUAAUUUCUAGAUCUACUCUUCUCCAGAACUGGAAAUCUACUUCACAGUACAAUGUGUAGGUACGUAGAAAUGGAAUCUGACAUAGUACUGUCAAAAAAUUAAAUAAUUUUUCAUGCAUAUAAAAGGAUGGAUGUACCAAGUUUCAGCACUUAUAGAGCUGAUUGAAAUAACUGUUAAAAAGAUUUUCAACUAAUUUUUGAAAAUCCUUGGCAAGGUAUGUCAGUGUAUUAUUCUUCUCAGACAGGUUUUUUUUUUUUUGAGAAUUCUUUCCUUUUUGAUCUAUAGUGUAAGUGUUAAGAUGACUGUUUUGUGUUGUAUUUCUCUGUCUGCAGAAUCAAAGAUUAUAACCAUUGAGUGCCACUCAAAGGAUUUAGAUGAUAAUGGUUUAGGGACUAAAAUGCACUAGCCUGAAGUACCCCUCAUUGUGAGUCUCUCAAAUGCGUUUUCUACUAUAAAAAUGUUUGGUGUGUGAUGGACCCCUUUCGCAUUAUUUAUUCCACCUUGCCACAGGACAAAUUAUAUAUUUUUGUUUUAAUGUACAGUAGUAGUUGUAGUAAUCUUAAAAGCUGUCAAUGUUGACUUGAGAACAUCCCGCCUUUCCCAGAACACAUACAUUGACACAUAUUGCCAGACAACACCUUUUUGCCUUUUAACCCACAAACAGGAAUAACUUGGACCUGGGGAUGCAAAUUUUUUAUUUUUUAUUUUGGGGACACAGUCUUAUGAAGUGAUUAUUAACACCUUUCUGCCAGACUGAAUACUGUUUCUAUUGGCGUGGAAGGGUUUUAAUCAUGUACUGAGUCUGUUUUUUGUUUUUUUUCUUCAUUGGUCCCCAUUAUUCCAGUUAGUUGGUGGUUACAAUUAUAGAUCUCAAGGACCACUACUAGUUUUCAGUCUACCAAAUGUUUGUUUUUGAGCACUUAACAGAAAUUGUAAAGUAAGUACUAGCAAUGAUUCAUUCUUCAAGGUCCAUUAAAUCAGUUGUUUAUAACUGGAUAAUGGCUUUGCUUUUUGUUUAAUUUAUUUUUUUUGCCACAUGCUGAUUGGGUUACCAGAUGUACCAGAAAGAGGCUGUCAAUGUAAACUGGUUAAAACCAUGUGGCCUCCCUUGCUGUGGUUGUGCCUUUCCAAAAGCAAAUGUCUUCUUUAAAAAAGUGUUUUUCGAGGGGAGUGGGUGGGAGAUGUGCAAGAUGGGAGGAACAUAGGUGAAUGUGUGAACAAAUCUCCAUCUAUUUGUUGACAGAGUAGUAAAUUGGGAUUUACAAUACAGGAAAAUACAUUCAAAACAUGAUCACUUUUCUACAAAGUUCCCUGCAACCCAAGUCCUGCUGCUCAUAUUGUGGCUUUGAAUCAAUUCUGUUUAUUAAAAAGCUUUAGCUUCUAAUAUGUGUCGCUUGUUUUUUUUUUUUUUUUGUUUCUUAAUAUGUGGAUGCCUUGUUGAGUGCAUGGUUGGUAUUACAAUUUU